CAGUCGCCGCGGGAAUACGUAGGGUGCAAGCGUUAAUCGGAAUUACUGGGCGUAAAGCGUGCGCAGGCGGUUAUAUAAGACAGAUGUGAAAUCCCCGGGCUCAACCUGGGAACUGCAUUUGUGACUGUAUAGCUAGAGUACGGCAGAGGGGGAUGGAAUUCCGCGUGUAGCAGUGAAAUGCGUAGAUAUGCGGAGGAACACCGAUGGCGAAGGCAAUCCCCUGGGCCUGUACUGACGCUCAUGCACGAAAGCGUGGGGAGCAAACAGGAUUAGAUUCCCCUGUAGUCCCUGUCUCUUAUAC
rnacentral:rRNA from 1 species